UACGUAGGGUGCGAGCGUUGUCCGGAAUUAUUGGGCGUAAAGGGCUCGUAGGCGGUUUGCCAAGUUCGAGGUGAAAUCUCCCGGCUUAACUGGGAGGGUGCCUCGAAAACUGGCAGGCUUGAGGCAGGGAGAGGGAUGUGGAAUUCCACGUGUAGCGGUGAAAUGCGUAGAGAUGUGGAGGAACACCGAUGGCGAAGGCAGCCUUCUGGGCCAACACUGACGCUCAUGCACGAAAGCUAGGGGAGCAAACGGG
rnacentral:rRNA from 1 species